rnacentral:rRNA from 1 species
CCUACGGGAGGCAGCAGUGGGGAAUAUUGCACAAUGGGGGGAACCCUGAUGCAGCGACGCCGCGUGAGUGAAGAAGUAUUUCGGUAUGUAAAGCUCUGUCAGCAGGGAAGAAGAAAGACGGUACCUGACCAAGAAGCCCCGGCUAACUACGUGCCAGCAGCCGCGGUAAUACGGAGGGGGCAAGCGUUAUCCGGAUUUACUGGGUGGAAAGGGAGCGUAGACGGCAGGGCAAGUCGGGAGUGAAAGGCAGGGGCCCAACCCCUGGACUGCUCUGGAAACUGUCCGGCUGGAGUGCAGGAGGGGUAAGUGGCAUUCCUCGUGUAGCGGUGACAUGUGUAGAUCUUAGGAGGAACACCAGUGGCGAAGGCGGCUUACUGGACUGUACCUGACGUUGCGUCUCGAAAGCGUGGGGAGCAAACAGGAUUAGAUACCCGUGUAGUC